CCUUCCUUCCUUCCUUUCUUCUUCUUCUUCUUCUUCUUCUUCUUCUUCUUCUUCUUCUCUGAUUUACAGAAUCUUUCCUUCCCUUGCUGUGAUCCUUAAGUCUUUAUAAAUAAACGAAUAAAUAGAUGAAAUGUAAACUGAAGUUAAUUGGAGGUCAGCGUGCGAUUUCCUGACGUGGAGAUAAUGAAUAAACCCCUCGACGUAAAUCACUUCACAACCUUCUCACACCUCCAGCUGCAACGCACACCGACGACGAGAAACGAGACGUCGCCACGAUGCCUCCAAAUGCAGGGAUAGAAGACAGACGGGCAUCAAAGGGUCACCACAAAGGAUCAUCUGGCUUGUGAUCGUACUGAAAGUCAGGUCUUCAUUGGCUGGACUUCAUUGGUGAGAGCAAAGGAUCCUGUUGCUGGACCACUAGGAGGCUUAGACAGGCAACUAAAAUACAACUAAAUGCAACUAAAAUCCAUCUCUAAAUUGUUUGGAGUGAACGAAAGCUUGUCCCCACAGUCCUCUGGGAUAGACUCCAGGUCCCUGAGACUCUGUAUAGUAUAAACACAAGAGACAUGGAUGGAGGGAUAGUUGGCUGAAUGGAUGGAUGGAUAGACGAACGGACGAGAGCUGAAACGUUUCCUUUCCCAUGUUUAUCCAACUCUCUCGUCCGUUUGGGGGAACGUUCCAGAAAUGAUUUAAGUUCUCUACUAGGAAAACAUGUCCAUAUGCUCGUGCAGACUCGUAGAGCUUUUUCUCCACAAAACGACACCCAUGACGAGAUAAAGCCUCCUCCGGUGAGGCGUCCAAGACAAACUUUGGGAACUCAAUGGGAUUUGAGAAGUCUUAAAUAAAAGAUCCACACAGGAGGACAUAGAAAUUCAUCUGCAGAAUAAAUGUUGUUUUUUUUUUUUUACCGUGGUCUAAAUUUGCUUAGAUUGAAGAGUGAUAAGUUUUGUCGUGGACAUUUUGAGGAUUGAGAGAUUUAAAGUAUAAACAGGGGCAGU